rnacentral:lncRNA from 12 species
UGGCUUCACUUGUAGGAUCAAAAAGAAGGUGAAGCUCUCUUGUGUCAGCAGAAAGCUGAUUUGGGGGAUGGAAGAUAAUUCAGUGAAAUUUCUAGCAAUGACAAGAAGACUUCAAAGAGGCCUGCAGAUCUUCACAGUAACUGUCGCAUACCUCUUCUGCUUAUGAAUUAUUGGCCUCCUACUUGUGAAAGAAAUCUAACACUGUCCUCACCACUUACAGGUGAGAUAUUCUAUAUAUAAUACUGUAUAUAAUGUGCUCUGAAAUAAGAUCUAUUUAGUAGGCUGGGC